rnacentral:rRNA from 1 species
ACGCUCGACACCUACGUGAGGCAGCAGUGGGGAAUAUUGGGCAAUGGGCGCAAGCCUGACCCAGCAACGCCGCGUGAAGGAUGAAGGCUUUCGGGUUGUAAACUUCUUUUAUCAGGGACGAAAUAAAUGACGGUACCUGAUGAAUAAGCCACGGCUAACUACGUGCCAGCACGCCGGACGGUAAUCUGAGGCCGGGCGUCGGACGAAGGC